rnacentral:rRNA from 1 species
GAUGAACGCUGGCGGCGUGCCUAAUACAUGCAAGUCGAGCGAACGGACGAGAAGCUUGCUUCUCUGAUGUUAGCGGCGGACGGGUGAGUAACACGUGGAUAACCUACCUAUAAGACUGGGAUAACUUCGGGAGACCGGAGCUAAUACCGGAUAAUAUUUUGAACCGCAUGGUUCAAAAGCGAAAGACGGUCUUGCUGUCACUUAUAGAUGGAUCCGCGCUGCAUUAGCUAGUUGGUAAGGUAACGGCUUACCAAGGCAACGAUGCAUAGCCGACCUGAGAGGGUGAUCGGCCACACUGGAACUGAGACACGGUCCAGACUCCUACGGGAGGCAGCAGUAGGGAAUGUUCCGCAAUGGGCGAAAGCAUGACGGAGCAACGCCGCGUGAGUGAUGAAGGUCUUCGGAUCGUAAAACUCUGUUAUUAGGGAAGAACAUAUGUGUAAGUAAAUGUGCACAUCUUGACGGUACCUAAUCAGAAAGCCACGGCUAACUACGUG